GCCGACGAAGCACAACGGGUUCGUGCACGCGCCUUGUAAGCGCGAGGUAGCCGGUUCGAGACCGGCCGUCGGCUCCA
rnacentral:tRNA from 1 species